rnacentral:rRNA from 1 species
AAAUUGAAGAGUUUGAUCAUGGCUCAGAUUGAACGCUGGCGGCAGGCCUAACACAUGCAAGUCGAACGGUAACAGGAAGCAGCUUGCUGCUUUGCUGACGAGUGGCGGACGGGUGAGUAAUGUCUGGGAAACUGCCUGAUGGAGGGGGAUAACUACUGGAAACGGUGGCUAAUACCGCAUAACGUCGCAAGACCAAAGAGGGGGACCUUCGGGCCUCUUGCCAUCAGAUGUGCCCAGAUGGGAUUAGCUUGUUGGUGAGGUAACGGCUCACCAAGGCGACGAUCCCUAGCUGGUCUGAGAGGAUGACCAGCCACACUGGAACUGAGACACGGUCCAGACUCCUACGGGAGGCAGCAGUGGGGAAUAUUGCACAAUGGGCGCAAGCCUGAUGCAGCCAUGCCGCGUGUAUGAAGAAGGCCUUCGGGUUGUAAAGUACUUUCAGCGGGGAGGAAGGUGUUGCGGUUAAUAACCGCAGCAAUUGACGUUACCCGCAGAAGAAGCACCGGCUAACUCCGUGCCAGCAGCCGCGGUAAUACGGAGGGUGCAAGCGUUAAUCGGAAUUACUGGGCGUAAAGCGCACGCAGGCGGUCUGUCAAGUCGGAUGUGAAAUCCCCGGGCUCAACCUGGGAACUGCAUUCGAAACUGGCAGGCUUGAGUCUUGUAGAGGGGGGUAGAAUUCCAGGUGUAGCGGUGAAAUGCGUAGAGAUCUGGAGGAAUACCGGUGGCGAAGGCGGCCCCCUGGACAAAGACUGACGCUCAGGUGCGAAAGCGUGGGGAGCAAACAGGAUUAGAUACCCUGGUAGUCCACGCCGUAAACGAUGUCUACUUGGAGGUUGUGCCCUUGAGGCGUGGCUUCCGGAGCUAACGCGUUAAGUAGACCGCCUGGGGAGUACGGCCGCAAGGUUAAAACUCAAAUGAAUUGACGGGGGCCCGCACAAGCGGUGGAGCAUGUGGUUUAAUUCGAUGCAACGCGAAGAACCUUACCUGGUCUUGACAUCCACAGAAGAAUCCAGAGAUGGAUUUGUGCCUUCGGGAACUGUGAGACAGGUGCUGCAUGGCUGUCGUCAGCUCGUGUUGUGAAAUGUUGGGUUAAGUCCCGCAACGAGCGCAACCCUUAUCCUUUGUUGCCAGCGAUUAGGUCGGGAACUCAAAGGAGACUGCCAGUGAUAAACUGGAGGAAGGUGGGGAUGACGUCAAGUCAUCAUGGCCCUUACGACCAGGGCUACACACGUGCUACAAUGGCGCAUACAAAGAGAAGCGACCUCGCGAGAGCAAGCGGACCUCAUAAAGUGCGUCGUAGUCCGGAUUGGAGUCUGCAACUCGACUCCAUGAAGUCGGAAUCGCUAGUAAUCGUGGAUCAGAAUGCCACGGUGAAUACGUUCCCGGGCCUUGUACACACCGCCCGUCACACCAUGGGAGUGGGUUGCAAAAGAAGUAGGUAGCUUAACCUUCGGGAGGGCGCUUACCACUUUGUGAUUCAUGACUGGGGUGAAGUCGUAACAAGGUAACCGUAGGGGAACCUGCGGUUGGAUCACCUCCUUAC